rnacentral:tRNA from 1 species
GGAGAGGUGGCUGAGUGGUCGAAAGCACCGGUUUCGAAAACCGGCAAGGGGGAAACCUCUUCAAGAGUUCGAAUCUCUUCCUCUCCG